AACUUUCAAACAAUGGAUCUCUUGGUUCCGGCAUCGAUGAAGAACGCAGCGAAAUGCGAUAAGUAAUGUGAAUUGCAGAAUUCCGUGAAUCAUCGAAUCUUUGAACGCACAUUGCGCCCCCUGGUAUUCCGGGGGGCAUGCCUGUCCGAGCGUCAUUGCAACCUUCAAGCGCGG
rnacentral:rRNA from 1 species